rnacentral:lncRNA from 1 species
CUAGAGUUAGCAAAAGUAAAAGAAAUGCAAAGAGCAAUGAUUGCUAGAGUGGCAACAUAAAGUGAUGUAAUGAACACUAGAGUUAGUGUAAAGUCAAGAUUGAACAUACAAUCCUUUGAGUUAAGGAUUUCAAUCAUGCUUGCUAUGAGUUCCGUGCUCGAGGGCGGUCGCUCCCCCUCGGGCGAUGCGCUCCGGAGUUAUGCAUCCGGGUUGGAGUAGACCCGUAAGGACGGUCCUAGCGGGUGAGUUCCUGCGAUGAUGGACUUAAUGUGAAGCAAGUCAAUGUGGCGAUACCCCCGGGUUAGCCUUGAGAUUAAAGAACAAAGAGCAAAGAAUAAAG